CCCGCGGUUAUGGCUCCGAUUGGACCCCUAGCCUGGGAACUUCCAUAUGCCUCAGGAGCGGCCCAAGAAAUGGCAAAAACAAAAAAACAUUGUUUUCUAAAUUUAACUGAAGUGAGCUUGAACUCUAGAAGGCGACAGAUGCCGAAUCUGGCCUAAGAGUCACCAAAAGUGAGGAGUAUGGUCUUUGUCCCAGUGUGGGUCAUUGUCUAGGUUGCCUCUGUCCAGGAGUCCUUCAGGGGACCUUUCCAGGUGAUUCCAGUGUCUGAAGUGCAGGCAUUUGUCCAAACUUUUCAGAAUACUUAACACCCCAUUAUGGAACUUUAAGCAGCCUUCCUCUUAGCCCAAGUCUCCCAGUCCUGGAGGGUCACAACGAGGUGUCACUGAAACAGGUCAUUUCAGUGUCCCCAUCCCUCUGGAGGACCAACAGAGACUCUUUAAGUCCCAUAGGAUGAGCUCAUGCUUCAGAGAACCUCAUGAAAUUAUUCAUGCCUUCAGGCUGGGCUGAAUUUAAUCCUUCAAAGAGAGGCAAGUGUCAAAUUUUGAAGCUGUUGAGCAUAUUUUAUAAUUUUGACCUUGAUGCGCAAGCUGUUCCUCUGUGUCCAACCUGAAACUGGUGUGAAAUGGGUUUUCUUUGCACAUAAUGUAAAUUGAUGUGUAUUUUCCCGAUUCUAGAAGUGACACAUGUUCUUUUUAAACAGGUAGUCAAUUUGAGGUAUUUUAAAUUGUAUUUUCUUUAUUCUGUUCUUGUGGCUUUGAAAUUUAGACAGAGUUGGUUCUUAUAAUCCAGAUGACUCUUAAAGAAGAGCAAUUGCAUCUUAACAGUAUCUUGUUGAAAGUCUCGUUUUGGGGGGACAUACAGAAAAAUGUAAACAAACGUGUCUAGAAGAAAAGCCAUUUACAUGGAGAAGGGAAACUUUGAGUCAAGGUGACACGUUUAGACCCAGGGUUAUGCCUGAACCAGCUUUUUAAAGCAAGUUUUCAAGCUUGGUUUCCUUAUCUAUAAAUUGAAACAUUUUUCUCCGUAUUGUGUGGACUGAAUACAAUACUACGUGUGAGGAAACUGGUAGGAAUCAGGUAUACAAUAAAUAACCAUCCUUUCCCCUCCCAUACCUUCUCUAUCUCUUCUUAACUUCUUUUUCUUACAUAUAUUAUCUAUUUUUAUUUAUUUAUUUAUUUUAUAUUUUAUGGCCACACCCGUGGCAUAUGGAAAUUCUCCAGGCCGGGGAUUAAAUCCAAGCUGCAGCUGCCGCCUAUGCUAAAGUGUGGCAAUCCACUUGCCCAGAUCCCUGAAUCCACUCUGCUGAGCCAGAGAUCAAACCCAUGCCUCCUCAGUGACCUCGGCUACUGUAGUCAGAUUCUUAGCCCACUGCUCCACACUGGGAACUCUUAGAUGUCUCUUUAUUAGCACAGAAAAAAAUGUUUCUUCUGGGUUGUAAACUGCAAUUCAUUGAAUGUAUUUUUCCCCUUUGGGGGCAUGGCCACCCAAUUUUUGGCCAUUCAGAUAAAUCUUCAUGUAUAGUUCAUUAGUUACCUAAAUCAGAACCUUCCAUUUAAAGAAAAUCAGCCUUCGAAGUGGAAAGAAAUCCUGUGCUACCCUUUGGAAAGGGUUUGCUUUCAUAGUCAAAGUACCAUGUUUGAGCUUGGCCUCCACCUUCCAAGGACCGAUUGAAGCCCUCGGUUCCAAAGCUAGUAAAUGACAGGUGAGAUGAUAGGAAUUUUGGUACUAUUGGUACCAGUAACCAGGAACGGGGCCACCUGCCUUCCUUGUUUUUUGCGUCCAACCAUCCCAGCUCUCCCGUGGGUAUUAGUAUCACUAUUUUACAGGAGAGAGAAUGAAGAUCCUUAGAGGUUGGUUAGCUCACGCAGGGUGGCACACUGGGAGAGUUCCAGACCCAGGCUGCACCCAGGCCUGCUGGACACUGUUAGUAUUUUCAUAAUGUGAUGGCACUCUGGGGGCACAAUGAUGAGGAGCCACCUCUUAACGUGCGGAACACGAGUGUCUCCACCGGAGCCAGUGUGCUCUCUUGAGACAGUCCCUCCUGUCCUCUGCCUCUGCCUUCUCUCCACCCCGCCC